UACGUAGGGUGCGAGCGUUAAUCGGAAUUACUGGGCGUAAAGCGUGCGCAGGCGGCUUCGCAAGUCGAGUGUGAAAUCCCCGAGCUUAACUUGGGAAUUGCGCUCGAAACUACGGAGCUGGAGUGUGGCAGAGGAAGGUGGAAUUCCACGUGUAGCGGUGAAAUGCGUAGAGAUGUGGAGGAACACCGAUGGCGAAGGCAGCCUUCUGGGCCAACACUGACGCUCAUGCACGAAAGCGUGGGGAGCAAACAGG
rnacentral:rRNA from 1 species